GAUGAACGCUGGCGGCGUGCCUAAUACAUGCAAGUCGAGCGAACGGACGAGAAGCUUGCUUCUCUGAUGUUAGCGGCGGACGGGUGAGUAACACGUGGAUAACCUACCUAUAAGACUGGGAUAACUUCGGGAAACCGGAGCUAAUACCGGAUAAUAUUUUGAACCGCAUGGUUCAAAAGUGAAAGACGGUCUUGCUGUCACUUAUAGAUGGAUCCGCGCUGCAUUAGCUAGUUGGUAAGGUAACGGCUUACCAAGGCAACGAUGCAUAGCCGACCUGAGAGGGUGAUCGGCCACACUGGAACUGAGACACGGUCCAGACUCCUACGGGAGGCAGCAGUAGGGAAUCUUCCGCAAUGGGCGAAAGCCUGACGGAGCAACGCCGCGUGAGUGAUGAAGGUCUUCGGAUCGUAAAACUCCGUUAUUAGGGAAGAACAAAUGUGUAAGUAACUAUGCACGUCUUGACGGUACCUAAUCAGAAAGCCACGGCUAACUACGUG
rnacentral:rRNA from 1 species